rnacentral:rRNA from 1 species
UACAGAGGUGGCAAGCGUUGUUCGGAAUUACUGGGCGUAAAGGGCGCGUAGGCGGUUCGUUAAGUCCUGUGUGAAAUCCCCCGGCUCAACUGGGGAACUGCACAGGAAACUAGCGGGCUUGAGUUCGGGAGAGGGAAGCGGAAUUCCGGGUGUAGCGGUGGAAAUGCGUAGAUAUCCGGAGGAACACCGGUGGCGAAGGCGGCUUCCUGGACCGACACUGACGCUGAGGCGCGAAAGCUAGGGGAGCAAACGGG